rnacentral:rRNA from 1 species
AAGUCAGGUCGCAGACCACGACCUCGAUAGGCCGCGGGUGUCAGCGUCGCGAGACGUUGAGCCGAGCGGUCCUAAUAAGACGUGAGGCUUAGCUUG